GGAUGUGAGGGCGAUCUGGCUGCGACAUCUGUCACCCCAUUGAUCGCCAGGGUUGAUUCGGCUGAUCUGGCUGGCUAGGCAGGUGUCCCCUUCCUCCCUCACCGCUCCAUGUGCGUCCCUCCCGAAGCUGCGCGCUCGGUGGAAGAGGACGACCAUCCCAGAUAGAAGGAGUGUACCGUUCUUCGGUCAAGGGUAUACGAUAGCUGCGCUCCCCUGCUAGAACCGCCAAACAAGCUCACACAUAUAGACCACAUGUACUUAUAUGUGCCCUAUUUGGU